rnacentral:rRNA from 1 species
CACGGAGUUAGCCGGUGCUUCUUCUGUGGCUAACAUCAAUCGUUGUAUCUAUUAAAUACAACGCCUUUCUCACCACUGAAAGAACUUUACAACCCUAAGGCCUUCUUCAUUCACGCGGCAUGGCUGCGUCAGGGUUUCCCCCAUUGCGCAAUAUUCCCCACUGCUGCCUCCCGUAGGAGUCUGGGCCGUGUCUCAGUCCCAGUGUGACUGGUCAUCCUCUCAAACCAGUUAGAGAUCGACGGCUUGGUAGGCCAUUACCCUACCAACUACCUAAUCUCACUUGGGUUCAUCUCUUGGCAUCUGGCCCGAAGGUCCCAGACUUUAAUCCGAAGAUAUUACGCGGUAUUAGCUACAGUUUCCCGUAGUUAUCCCCCACCAAAAGGUGAUCCCCAAGCAUUACUCACCCGUCCGCCACUCGACGCCUAAAAAUCCACCGAAGCUUCUUUUUUAUCGUUUCCGUUCGUACUUGCAUGUGUUAAGCCUGCCGCCAGCGUUCAAUCUGAGCCAGGAUCAAACUCU